UUGGAAAUUUGAACGUUUCAAUAACUGGUUUAACUGUAAAUUGACAAAGUGAUCAAAAGGAUUGACAAGAAACCAAAAAUUAUCCAUUUUUUCAUUAAUCCGAUUGGCAAUUAACAUGUUAAUCAAUCUGGUUCAACAAUAGAUUAAACGAUCAAUUGGAUAACCAACUACCGGACAAUGGACUGUUAAUUGGCUUCCGGCGAUUGUGAUUCGAUUUGUGAGCGAUUUUAUGAAUGGAAGGCCUCGAACUUGAACUUUUCGUAUAUGAGUAAUCUUUUUACCUGAAUUUUCAGCUACACAUCCAUAAGAACCUCCAUCUAACAGGAUAAUCCCUUGUAAUUUCAAUAAGCUCACGAUUACAUUUUCCUGUGUUCAUGAAAGAUGAAACAUGAAUGAAUUACCAUGAGAAAACUAAAGAGUCCAAGUGACCCUUGGUAUUGGAUAACCUUCAACUUUACAUGAAAGGAUUCAAUUUUUAAUCUACUUGGAUUUAACAAUUUAAUUGUCGAUGAACCAUUCAAAGGAUACAAUAAAUUCAAUGGAUGACCAUUAAAUCGCCAUUCAAUUGAGUUUCCAAUUCAAUUCUAUAUAUAAGGCUAACAUGAUGAAUCUACUCUAACCAAGAUGUUAAUAUAUUCCUGAAACUGAUAUACUCUAAUGAGAUAUUGAGGAUUACUAAAUGAAAUGAUUUCUUUUAUUGGAUUUAAUAGUAAAGAAAAGUAAGUAAACAUACCCUUAGGGUAAAUGUAAAAAAUGAUCAUAAUGUUCACUAUCAACUCUACUUUUUCAUGAUGAGAGAAACUCAUCAUUAUCAUCUUCAUCUUCAUCCUCAUCAUCAGGAAUCCUCAUGACAUCAGAACUCUUCAGUUAUUAGCUUUUUUUCAUCAUCAUCUUCAUGAUUAACUCUCAAUGUAUCAGAAUGUAUUUAAUAACUGUCCAUCCUUAAGGAUGCCCAAUGGUCACAAACAUUUUGACAAGAAUCCCUUUAAUCAUGAAUGAACUUUUUUCUAUCAAAUCAACUCAAUCAUGUUAUUAUAUUUUAUCAAUCCAAUGAUUACAAUUAACUCUAACUAUUUACAACUAUUAUCGGAAACCUCUAAUUAUCUCAAAUGAAUCAAUUGAUUUGAACUUCAUUAUGGGAAAAAAAACUUUUGCCUCUUAUCGGUUUCCCAUAAAGUGCAAGUAUCUCUCAAUGCUGGUCAAGUGGUCAGUUUCUGAUUUGGAUCAUCGUGUGUCUAUCCUCAUUUACUGAACUUUUAACCAUCAUGAUUAAAUUUGAAUUUAUGGUGAAAAUAUGGUUAUUAUUUAUUUACAUUUUAAACUAAUAAACUGACCACAACUUUUGUUAUCUUUUCUUUCAGGUAAAUACUAUGAAAAUGGAUCAAGAGGUGAACAAAAAGUUAACGGUAAAACUUACAGCGAACCAUUAGUUGAAUUGAAACUUUAUCGUGACCCAAUGAAUUAUUUGCCCAGC